CCGUGAGUGAAUAGGUAAGCUUUAAUGAUGUCAUCAAUGAGGUAACCAUUUGGCUUUUGGCCGUACCCUGUGAUGAC
rnacentral:tRNA from 1 species